rnacentral:rRNA from 1 species
AACGAACGUUGGCGGCGUGGAUUAGGCAUGCAAGUCGAGCGAACCCCCGCAAGGGGGGAAGCGGCGAAAGGGGCAGUAAGGCGUGGGUAACCUACCCCGGGGACUGGUAUAGCCCUUCGAGAGAAGGGGUAAUCCCGGGCGACGUGUCGAGGGGGCAUCUCCUUGCCACCAAAUGAGUUUCGCCCCGGGAGGGGCCCACGUGAUAUUAGCUAGUUGGUAGGGUAACGGCCUACCAAGGCGAAGAUGUCUAGCGGGUGUGAGAGCACGACCCGCGCCACUGGCACUGAGACACUGGCCAGACACCUACGGGUGGCUGCAGUCGAGGAUCUUCGGCAAUGGGCGCAAGCCUGACCGAGCGACGCCGCGUGGGCGAUGAAGGCCUUCGGGUUGUAAAGCCCUGUCGAGGGGGAGAAAGUGGAAACUUGAUCUAUCCCUGGAGGAAGCACGGGCUAAGUUCGUGCCAGCAGCCGCGGUAACAC